rnacentral:rRNA from 1 species
GACGAACGCUGGCGGCGUGCCUAACACAUGCAAGUCGAGCGCAGGAAACUGACGGAACUCUUCGGAGGGAAGGCAGUGGAAUGAGCGGCGGACGGGUGAGUAACACGUAAGGAACCUGCCUCAAGGAUUGGGAUAACUCCGAGAAAUCGGAGCUAAUACCGGAUAGUUCAACGGACCGCAUGGUCCGCUGAUGAAAGGCGCUCCGGCGUCACCUUGAGAUGGCCUUGCGGUGCAUUAGCUAGUUGGUGGGGUAACGGCCCACCAAGGCGACGAUGCAUAGCCGACCUGAGAGGGUGAUCGGCCACACUGGGACUGAGACACGGCCCAGACUCCUACGGGAGGCAGCAGUAGGGAAUCUUCCACAAUGGACGAAAGUCUGAUGGAGCAACGCCGCGUGAGUGAUGAAGGUUUUCGGAUCGUAAAACUCUGUUGUAAGGGAAGAACACGUACGAGAGGGAAUGCUCGUACCUUGACGGUACCUUACGAGAAAGCCACGGCUAACUACGUGCCAGCCGCCGCAGUAAGAC